rnacentral:tRNA from 1 species
UCUCUGGUAGUCCUGUGAUUAGGACACUGUAUUUUCACUCUGAGGGCCCAAGUUCAAUCCCUGGUCAGGGAA